GAUGAAGAACGUAGCGAAAUGCGAUAAGUAGUGUGAAUUGCAGAAUUCAGUGAAUCAUCGAAUCUUUGAACGCACAUUGCGCCCCUUGGUAUUCCAUGGGGCAUGCCUGUUCGAGCGUCAUUUGUACCCUCAAGCUCUGCUUGGUGUUGGGUGUUUGUCCACUCCCUGGUGUCUGGACUCGCCUUAAAGCAAUUGGCAGCCAGUGUUUUGGUAUUGAAGCGCAGCACAUUUUGCGUCUCCAGCCUAGAACGCUUGCGUCCAGUAAGCCUUUUUCCACUUUUGACCUCGGAUCAGGUAGGGAUACCCGCUGAACUUAAGCAUAUAAAUAAGCGGAGGA
rnacentral:misc_RNA from 1 species